GAAAUAUUUAUGCCAAAGUAAAUGCUAAAUGGAAAAAGAUUUAAACAUUUUUUAAAAAAGUCUGAAAAAUACUCGAGAAUAUGUGUGAAUUUUUUUUUACUGUGGAAUGGAGAAGGCUCUUCUAACUGUAACCUGAAAUCCAUAAGCCAAGAAGGGUAACUGAUAAAUUUGUCUACAGGAAAAUUUAAGACUUCUGAAUGGCAAAAUAAAAAACCAUAAAGUCAAAGAACUUUAUUUUUAUCUGGUAAUCUUAAGUUUAUCUUCAAGGUCAUUCAAAAAACCUUUAAAGUAAAAUUUUUUUUAUUGUUUCUGAAGGUUUUGAGAGCUCAGAAAAGGACAUAUUUACAUUAAGCCCAGAUCCUUUUAGCAAUAUUUCCUUCACAACUGCUACUAAUCACCUAUUAUCCAAUCAGUAACCAUGUCAAAAUUAACAUAACACUGUAGACAGAUGUUAUAAAAAUAAGAUUGCUACUUUCUCUGACAUUUACUUUAAAAAUCCUAUACUUUAGUUAAGCAUGAAUGUCUGUGUUAACACAAAAUGUGUGUGUUCUUAUGGAGACUGAGAAAUCUUUGACCAUGUUCUUUCCUUCUUCUAAAAGAAAAAUUGUCUCAAUAAGAAAAGUAUGAUUUUGUGUUCUUAAUUAAUUAUAAAAGUGUGAGCUCAGGGGAAUAUAGGCUAAGUAUAUAAAACUACUAUUUUUGACUGAUAUUUUAUAUUGAAAUAUAAUAUUCGGUUAGAAAAAACUCAAAAAUGUUAUUGUUUCUCAAACCUAUGCUUCUAUUUACAUUAUAGGAAGGUGCAUGUAUAUAUGGACAGAAAAGUUAAGACUUGGUCAUCCAAACCUAUAUUCAAUCUAUGAUCAGGAAGAGUUUAGAAAGGUCCAAAAGACCAGAGAGUAGAGAGCACCUGACUCGAUGCAACUGGAACAGUACCAGGAGGCAGCAAGAAAGGACAUACACCAGCUGACCAGAGAUCAACAGAACAAAGCAAAUCACCUAAACAAAAACGAGGAUACAGGGAGGAACUUCUUGGCACAGAACUUUCCAAAAAG